rnacentral:rRNA from 1 species
AUUGAACGCUGGCGGCAGGCCUAACACAUGCAAGUCGAACGGCAGCGGGGGAUAGCUUGCUAUCCUGCCGGCGAGUGGCGGACGGGUGAGUAAUGCAUGGGGAGCUGCCCAAUCGAGGGGGAUAACAACUGGAAACGGUUGCUAAUACCGCAUACGCCCUGCGGGGGAAAGGUGGGGACCUUCGGGCCUACCGCGAUUGGAUGCACCCAUGUGGGAUUAGCUAGUUGGUGAGGUAACGGCUCACCAAGGCGACGAUCUCUAGCUGGUCUGAGAGGAUGACCAGCCACACUGGAACUGAGACACGGUCCAGACUCCUACGGGAGGCAGCAGUGGGGAAUAUUGCACAAUGGGGGAAACCCUGAUGCAGCCAUGCCGCGUGUGUGAAGAAGGCCUUCGGGUUGUAAAGCACUUUCAGUGGGGAGGAAGGGCUGAUGACUAAUAUUCAUCAGCAUUGACGUUACCCACAGAAGAAGCACCGGCUAACUCCGUGCCAGCCGCCGCAGUAA